rnacentral:lncRNA from 1 species
CUUUCGCCUUCUGAGCAACUACCUGGGUCGUAAGUGCCUCGUUCUCCUGGUGAAUUCUCCUCCAAUCCUUGGUCAAAGCCUCAAUCUUUCCGGCAUCCCUUUUCCCUUCUCACUUGGCGGCUUCGAUCUCCCCCGAAAGCCUCUUAAUCUCGGAACCGAUGCUCUCGAUUUCCUUGUCGUUCCGAGAAGCCACGACGUGAUCUUCCAUCAUUACAACAUA